rnacentral:rRNA from 1 species
UACGUAGGGUGCAAGCGUUGUCCGGAAUUAUUGGGCGUAAAGAGCUCGUAGGCGGUUUGUCGCGUCUGUCGUGAAAGCUUGGGGCUUAACCCCAAGUCUGCGGUGGAUACGGGCAGACUAGAGGCAGGUAGGGGAGAACGGAAUUCCCGGUGUAGCGGUGAAAUGCGCAGAUAUCGGGAGGAACACCGGUGGCGAAGGCGGUUCUCUGGGCCUGUACUGACGCUGAGGAGCGAAAGCAUGGGGAGCGAACAGG